GUGGGGAAUUUUGGACAAUGGGCGAAAGCCUGAUCCAGCAAUGCCGCGUGCAGGAUGAAGGCCCUCGGGUUGUAAACUGCUUUUGUACGGAACGAAAAGCCUGGGGCUAAUAUCCCCGGGUCAUGACGGUACCGUAAGAAUAAGCACCGGCUAACUACGUGCCAGCAGCCGCGGUAAUACGUAGGGUGCAAGCGUUAAUCGGAAUUACUGGGCGUAAAGCGUGCGCAGGCGGUUUUGUAAGACAGUGGUGAAAUCCCCGGGCUCAACCUGGGAACUGCCAUUGUGACUGCAAGGCUAGAGUGCGGCAGAGGGAGGUGGAAUUCCGCGUGUAGCAGUGAAAUGCGUAGAGAUGCGGAGGAACACCGAUGGCGAAGGCAGCCUCCUGGGAUAACACUGACGCUCAGGCACGAAAGCGUGGGGAGCAAACAGGAUUAGAUACCCCAGUAGUCC
rnacentral:rRNA from 1 species